rnacentral:rRNA from 1 species
UACGUAGGUGGCAAGCGUUGUCCGGAAUUAUUGGGCGUAAGGCGCGCGCAGGCGGUCCUUUAAGUCUGAUGUGAAAGCCCUCGGCUCAACCGAGGAGGGUCAUUGGAAACUGGAGGACUUGAGUGCAGAAGAGGAAAGUGGAAUUCCAAGUGUAGCGGUGAAAUGCGUAGAGAUUUGGAGGAACACCAGUGGCGAAGGCGACUUUCUGGUCUGUAACUGACGCUGAGGCGCGAAAGCGUGGGGAGCGAACAGG